UGUUCUCCUUUCUCCUCCUCUCUAGAAAGGCACCGAGCCUACAAGAACCUCUCCCAAAUUCCUGCGCUCAGCCCCUCCUCUUUCUUCCCCGGUGACAGCCGAACAUGAGUUGGGCGAAGAUCCUUCCCCUUUUGUAUCUUUUGUUGUAGUUAGGGUGCCAAUAGAUCGGAUUUGGCUUCGAUCUUACCCUUGUGUCUCUUCUUCUAGAUCUGUUGUGCAAGCCAUCAGAGACGGAGAAGAAGAUGACAGCGGCAGUUGCUGCCAUGUCCAAGUUUGUUUUCUAAAGUUACUUCGUUUUCCCCUGUGUGGCUGUUGGGAUUGAUUCCUUUUUGUGCCUGACUCAGGUUCUCUUCCCAACCUCCAAUGUGAGCUUGUUUCCUCUUUGCUACCCAUGGAGGCUACCAGCAAUAGGACCACCUUGAGUAGGCCUGGGCGUUGUAGGCACGGAGAUUUGUGAAAUUGUGCUGGUGACCCGAAGAAGCAGAGAUGUGUGAUCUGUGCAGCUGUGUGUUUGGAACCAUGGCCUCUCCUGAACAUGUUUAGAAACGAAUUGGUUGCGAAACUGUGAAGUACCUUAUUAACUGUGAAGUAAUUUAGACUUGGGGAAAUUAUUGAGAUCCAUACCCUCUGGUUGUUACCAGAUUUUCUAUUUAAUAUUCUCUUUUUUUCAUUGUGAUCUGUGUCAGAUUUUUGUACUUGCAAGAUUUUGUGCAAGGAGAAUGGAGCGGCAUGAUCAAGCAUUGCUAAAUGUCAUCUUAUAAGUGGGUGAGUUCUCAAGCUCUACUCACGGAGAAGAAAGGUAAGCUUUUCCACUUUGUUGUAUUAAGUAAUGUACCAGUUCACUGUAUAUUAACCAUUGUGUAUCGAACGCAAUCUGAGUAAUCUUUUUUUUACAAAAAACACAUAUAUAUACACUUGUGUAGUUAUAUGAGAUUAAGGUAGCCAAAAGGGCUUGCAUUAUUUUCUUCGUCGCAACAUCACCCUUAUAUGAGAUUGGAAUUGAUGACUUAGUUCCAUUACCAUGAGGCUAUGGGAAUCCAAUUUCUUCCUUUUUUGGCAUAGGAGACCUGCCCUGUGGAUCUCCUUUUGUCUGACCUGCAUCUUUGCCCCUCUGUAUGACAAAGUAUUGUUUGGUCAUGGUCACAUCAGAUGCUACUCUUGAGAAGUUGAGGGAUAAUUUUGAGGUGUCUCAUGAAAUCUAACCAAAAUUUGCCUUCUCACAAGAAAAGGAGUGCAUCAAUUAUCUAAUUCUUAGCUUUUGGUCAUCAUGUAAAGUUUAGCUCACAAGCUGGAUUUGUCCCUAAACUAACGUACUUCCUUGUUUUUCUUAAGAUUCAACAACAUAAAGUCAUAUAGUCAAUAUGGAGCAUGAGCAGCUCUCGAUGAACGAAGAAAUCUCUACUCCUAUAAAAAUGUGAGUUGGUGAUGAUGGUGUGUCUGCCUUUGUGUCAUCUGCACCGUCCGAUCUGAAAUGUAACGCUAAGAUUUAGUCUGGAUGCCCCAAGUUCCCCAAAACAGAACACCAAUGGUUUGGAUGUUCUCCUUUCUCAUCCUGUCUAGAAAGGCACCGAGCCUACGAGAACCUCUCCCAAAUUCCUGCGCUCAGCCCCUCCUCUUUCUUCCCCGGUGACAGCCGAACUUGAGUUGGGCGAAGAUCCUUCCCCUUUUGUAUCUUAUGUUGUAGUUAGGGUGCCAAUAGAUCGGAUUUGGCUUCGAGCUUACCCCUGUGUCUCUUCUACAAGAUAUGUUGUGCAAGCCAUCAGAGACGGAGAAGAAGAUGACAACGGCGGUUGCUGCCAUGUCCAAGUUUGUUUUCUAAAGUUACUUCAUUUUCCCCUGUGUGGUCGUUGGGGUUGAUUCCUUUUUGUGCCUGACUCAGAUUCUCUUCUCAACCUCCAAUGUGAGCUUGUUUCUUUUAUGCUACCCAUGGAGGCUACCAGCAAUAGGACCACCUUGAGUAGGCCUGGACGUUGUAGGCAUGGAUGAUUUGUGCAAUUGUGCUGGUGGCGGGUUACUCGUUCCCGGCAGUACUGGUGCCAACUACCUCGAGCCACCAUUUUUGUUCACAACCAUGUUCGCCACUCUGUAAGUAUUGUGUUUCUCUGUCAGACCCGAAGAAGCAGAGAUGUGUGAUCCAUGCAGCUGUGUGUUUGGAACCAUGGCCUCUCCUAAACAUGUUUAGAAAUGAAUUGGUUGUGGAUCUGCGAAGUACCUUAUUAACUACGAAGUAAUUUAGACUUGGGGAAAUUAUUGAGAUCCAUCCCCUCGGGUUGUUACCAGAUUUUCUAUUUAAUAUUCAUUUUUUUUCAUUGUGAUCUGUGUCAGAUUUUUGUACUUGCAAGAUUUUGUGCAAGGAAAAUGGAGCGGCAUGAUCAAGCAUUGUCGAAUGUCAUCUUAUAAGUGGGUGAGUUCUCAAGCUCUACUCACUGAGAAGAAAGGUAAGCUUUUCCACUUUGUCGUAUUAAGUAAUGUAACAUACCGGUUCACUGUAUAUUAACCAUUGUGUAUCGAACGCAAUCUGAGUAAUCUUUUUUUUACAAAAAACACAUAUAUACACUUGUGUAGUUAUAUGAGAUUAAGGUAGCCAAAAGGGCUUGCAGUAUUUUCUUCGUCGCAACAUCACCCUUAUUUGAGAUUGGAAUUGAUGACUUAGUUUCCUUACCAUGAGGCUAUGGAAAUCCAAGUUCUUCCUUUUUGGCAUAGGAGACCUGCCUUGUGGAGCUCCUUUUGUCUGACCUGCAUCUUCGCCCCUCUGUAUGACAAAGUAUUGUUUGGUCGUGGUCACAUCAGAUGCUCCUCUUGAUAAGUUGAGGGAUAAUUUUGAGGUGUCUCAUGAAAUCUAAUCAAAAUUUGCCUUCUCACAAGAAAAGGAGUGCAUCAAUUAUCUAACUCUUAGCUUUUGGCCGUCAUGUAAAGUUUAGCUCACAAGCUGGAUUUGUCCCUAAACUAGCGUACUUCCUUGUCUUUCUUAAGAUUCAACAACAUAAAGUCAUAUAUUCAAUAUGGAGCAUGAGCAGCUCUCGGAAGAACGGUGAAAUAAACAAAAUAAGAAUAGAAAAAUCUGAACUUUUUACAACAAACAUAUUUGUCUUCUAAAAACGUACAUCUUUUUUGCGAAGAAACUAUUGAUUUGGUGAUUUUCAAAAAAGAGCAGUUCCCAUGUUAGUGUUUUAAGAGUACCAUUUUUUCAGAUCACAACAUGUUUUGUUUCUUUAUUACAAUUUACACAUUUAUAAUGCUUGAUAUGCUUGAGUGCUUGGUGGGGGAGCACAUGAGAAAGAAAGAGGUAGAGUGAUCUCACCAUACUGAUUUUUUUUCUCAGUGAGAUCUGAUUUGUUUUAAUACAGUAUGAUGUUGCAGUGCACGUGUACUAAUCUAGGAUCAAAACAUAGGAGAGAGGGGACGGUUCGAGGUGAAGGCACCAAACGUCAGAAAACAGGGGAGGCGGGAGGAGGGAGACUGGUGGAAUUUCUCACUAACUAUUUGAUAGUCAAGUACAAUCCAACAACAUCACCCCUCUAAAUGAAUUGUUGAAUAUUUUGUCAUAUGAUGUUUAUGCAGAUGUUGUUCCAUAACAAUGUAUAACUACUACACUAGAAUAUGUGUAGAAGCUCAGUUCUUGCAUGUGGCAGAUAUUUACAUUGUAUGAAUAAACUUCAGAUGAGAGCCAUUUAUGGUGCAUUCUGUAUUGCAAUGCCAAAUAUCCAUGCACA